CUCCCCGAGGGCUUCGCCAGCCCUCCUUUCUCCUCACUCAUUUACACCACUGCACUGAUGCAUACUGGAAUUGAUAACACGGACACCUUCUCUUAUCUUGUCUUACCGUAGUCUUUUGAGUAGGAGUCCUUUGUUAUCGAACUGGCAAGGAGCAAAGGGAUGUCACAGACCCAAAUGCGUUUUUAAGAUGCUUUCACCAAAUGUUUGACAGCUGCUGGCCUGAUGAAUUUGAUCGAUGAUGUGUUGAAACCAGUACAAGGUUGUUGCUGAGGGGACGGGUAUUGCUGCCGUGGUGACAGUAAGAAGCAAUGCAUUGCACCGAUAGAUGGCCGAGAGAAACACGAAGCAGUGGCCAACUCCUGCAGACACUAGGAAUGCUUCAUGGUCCAGUGAUGAAUUGCAAAUAGAGGAUCAGAGUCUGGCACAUGAAAGUGAUUGGGAGGAGGGAAGGAGGGGGAAAGAGACAAAGAGAGCGAGAGAGA